rnacentral:rRNA from 1 species
GCAGAGCAUCCUACGGGAGGCAGCAGUGGGGAAUAUUGCACAAUGGGCGCAAGCCUGAUGCAGUCAUGCCGCGUGUAUGAAGAAGGCCUUCGGGUUGUAAAAGUACUUUCAGCAGUGAGGAAGGUGGAUAUGUUAAUAGCAUAUUCAUUUGACGUUAGCUGCAGAAGAAGCACCGGCUAACUCCGUGCCAGCAGCCGCGGUAAUACGGAGGGUGCGAGCGUUAAUCGGAAUUACUGGGCGUAAAGCGCAUGCAGGUGGUUUGUUAAGUCAGAUGUGAAAGCCCGGGGCUCAACCUCGGAAUUGCAUUUGAAACUGGCAAACUAGAGUACUGUAGAGGGGGUAGAAUUUCAGGUGUAGCGGUGAAAUGCGUAGAGAUCUGAAGGAAUACCGGUGGCGAAGGCGGCCCCCUGGACAGAUACUGACACUCAGAUGCGAAAGCGUGGGGAGCAAACAGGAUUAGAUACCCUGGUAG